GAGCUGUCAGGCUGGAUCCAGUGUAGUCAGCUCUGUAGUCCAUAGAUAUUCUCUCUCUCUCUCUCUCUCUCUCUCUCUCUCUCUCUCUCUCUCUCUCUCUCUCUCUCUUUCAUCUUCUUCUCUCAAGAUACACCAACUGUUCGUGAAACAGUUUUUACCCACAAUGGAUUUUCAUGUCCUUUUUCAGGAAGUGUCCCUGGAUUGACAUGUCCUCUACCUGACUUGGUUCUCUGGCACAGAUGUGAUCCUAGGUGCCUCUCUCCUCCUCCCAACCUUCAGAAAAGCCCAAUUGCUGAGGACAGAGCCAAGACUUUGUCAAGGUACAUAGCCCAGCCCUAGCAUGAAAAUUGGAACCUCCCAUCAUUCUCAUUCUUCUCCAAGAUUUACUUGGGUGGGAAGAAUCCAGUUUGUUGGAACACUAGCAGACCUUGGAGGGAAGAGGAGAUACCUGAUUCUGACUUCCACGGACCUUGGUGAAGGGCAGUAGUGUCCUACAAUAGGACCAAUUCAGGGGCUAAGCAAACUGAACUCUCCUGAGAAACUGUGUUAAUUGGCGGUCUUACCCCUCCUAACAUCACUUUCUAUGGACUCUUGUGGGUGCAGGUCAGGGAGGAGAUAAGACAUGGAACUGACUAUUAGAGAGCCCUUGAAAUUCAACAGUGCCUGGAAGAAGCCUUACCUGACCCACCCUGGUUGCAGUUCUGUUUCUACCUAAUACAAAUGCUACCUCCUUCAGGAAGCUUUCCUUUUUGAUGAUAACAAAAAAGGACUUCAAUUUGUACUAUUGUACUUAUGCAAUAUUUUAAACUAUCAUUAUCUGCAUUUGUGUCUUAUUCUUGUACUAAACUGUUAAGUUCUGUAAGAGCAGAGACUAUGUCUUAUGUAAGCUUUAUACUUUAUACUGACCAGCACAAUCAGCUCUUAAAUGUGUUAAUUAAAUCUGAAUUUGGAAUUUAGUUGUGAGUCCUUGGGCUAAAUGUAGAAUGCCUCCUGCUACAACCAGAAGCCUUAGCUCUCGAACCCAAAGAUGAGGUUACAAGGUUGCCUUGGGCCAGGGAUUGUCUUUGAAAUGUUAUUACUACUACGUUUUCUGUUUCUAAUGGGUUUUGAAGGAUAUUUAGACAUAGUUGC